AAUGAACGCUGGCGGCGUGCCUAAUACAUGCAAGUCGAGCGGCAGCACGGUCUUCGGACUGGUGGCGAGCGGCGGACGGCUGAGUAACGCGUAGGAACAUGCCCUAAAGUGAGGAAUAACUGCCCGAAAGGGUGGCUAAUGCCGCAUGUGCUCUUCGGGGUAAAGCUUUAUGCGCUUUAGGAGUGGCCUGCGUCCGAUUAGCUAGUUGGUGAGGUAAAUGCUCACCAAGGCGACGAUCGGUAGCUGGUCUGAGAGGAUGAUCAGCCAGACUGGAACUGAGAACGGUCCAGACUCCUACGGGAGGCAGCAGUAGGGAAUUUUCCACAAUGGGCGAGAGCCUGAUGGAGCAACGCCGCGUGCAGGAUGAAUGCCUUCGGGUUGUAAACUGCUUUUAUGUGCGAAGAAUUUGACUGUAACACAUGAAUAAGGAUCGGCUAACUACGUGCCAGCCGCCGCGGUAA
rnacentral:rRNA from 1 species